UUGCUUGCUUCGGCAGCACAUAUACUAAAAUUGGAACGACACAGAGAAGAUUAGCAUAGCCCCUGCGCAAGGAUGACACACAAAUUCAUGAAGCAUCCCAUAUUUAA
rnacentral:snRNA from 1 species